AGUGAACGCUGGCGGUAGGCCUAACACAUGCAAGUCGAACGGCAGCACAGUAAGAGCUUGCUCUUACGGGUGGCGAGUGGCGGACGGGUGAGGAAUACAUCGGAAUCUACUUUUUCGUGGGGGAUAACGUAGGGAAACUUACGCUAAUACCGCAUACGACAUACGGGUGAAAGCAGGGGAUCUUCGGACCUUGCGCGAUUGAAUGAGCCGAUGUCGGAUUAGCUAGUUGGCGGGGUAAAGGCCCACCAAGGCGACGAUCCGUAGCUGGUCUGAGAGGAUGAUCAGCCACACUGGGACUGAGACACGGUCCAGACUCCUACGGGAGGCAGCAGUGGGGAAUAUUGGACAAUGGGCGCAAGCCUGAUCCAGCCAUACCGCGUGGGUGAAGAAGGCCUUCGGGUUGUAAAGCCCUUUUGUUGGGAAAGAAAAGCAGCAGGUUAAUACCCCGCUGUUCUGACGGUACCCAAAGAAUAAGCACCGGCUAACUUCGUG
rnacentral:rRNA from 1 species